GACAGAGGGUGCAAACGUUGUUCGGAAUUACUGGGCGUAAAGCGCGUGUAGGCGGCCCUGCAAGUCGGGUGUGAAAUCCCACGGCUCAACCGUGGAAGUGCACUCGAAACUGCAGGGCUAGAGUCCUGGAGAGGAAGGUGGAAUGCUUGGUGUAGAGGUGAAAUUCGUAGAUAUCGAGAGGAACAUCGGUGGCGAAGGCGGCCUUCUGGACAGUGACUGACGCUGAGACGCGAAAGCGUGGGGAGCAAACAGG
rnacentral:rRNA from 1 species